GGGUCAGUAGGUUGGUCGUGCCACCGGUACGUACUGGUCUCACUGAUUCCUCCUACCUGAAGAACCGUAAUGCCAUUAAUUUGGUGUUGCGGGGAAACAGGGCUGUUACUUUGAAAAAAUUAGAGUGUUUAAAGCAAGCUAACGCUUGAAUACAUUAGCAUGGAAUAAUGAAAUAGGACGAUCGAUCCUAUUUUGUUGGUUUCUAGGAUUGACGUA
rnacentral:rRNA from 1 species